GCGCCAGUAGCUCAGCUGGAUAGAGCAACGGCCUUCUAAGCCGUAGGUCGCAGGUUCGAGUCCUGCCUGGCGCGCCA
rnacentral:tRNA from 1 species